GAAAUCUUUUCCCUGUAAUACUAUCUUCAGAGCUCAAGUACUGUGUUACCAUCCGAGGCAGUGUGUGGUCCUCUACAGCCUUCCCACAGCGUGACCGUGCUGCCAGUGGUACAUCAGGACCUGGUCACAGAGGGACUCAUGUGCCGUGUGGUGACCCUCCAAAAGCAGUGAAACAUAACCUUCAUGGAGCCUCUGGGAGCUGCCUGUGGCUGGGCCUUGCAGUGGGGAGAUGACCCAUGGCCUGCAGGCCAUUGAGAGGAAACGGGGUGUUCUGGGGGACACGAUGCACUUGCCAACCAGCUGAGCUGCCUACACUCACUGAGAAGGGUACCUCUGAAACCUCACAUUAUGAGACUGGCAACUUCUCUUUAAACAAACAGUAUAUGAGUAUUUCUGCUGAGUGAAAAUUAAAAAUUAUCUGCUAAAUGGAGGAAUUUAGUUGAGGGGGUCCUCAGCUUUCUCCGGGUUGAGAGAGAGUAUCAGAUCCAUGACAAUACAGGAAAGUCGUGCUUUUACCCUGGAUCAGGAGUACUCACACCUUGGUUUACACAGGCACCACCCAAGGAGCCUGUUAAAAUGCAGACUCUGAUUCAUUAGGUUUUAAUGAGUUUUCCAAGUGAUUCCUUUUUUAGUAGUAAAAAUUAACAGUAAAAUUAAAACUAUUUUUAAUCAUGUGAAAUUUCAAAUGUAUACGUGUAACAAGAUGCUGACUUCUUGCCACAUUUGCUUUAUAUCUCUGUGUAAGAAAACAUCACAGAGCAACUCAAGUUUCCCAUUUAAUCUCUCUCCCUCCUUGCACCCCAGAUGUGACUGCUAUUCUGAAGACUGAACAUCAUUUCAUAUGUUUUUGCAUAUAUUUAUUUUAGUAAACAAUACGAUGUAUUAUUUCAAUAUUUUUAUAAAUACGGCAAUGCUUGCCACCUGUCUGCCGUCA